CGCGUAGGCGGUCUGGUCAGUCGGAUGUGAAAGCCCAGGGCUUAACCUUGGAAUUGCAUUCGAUACUGCCAAACUAGAAUGUUGGAGAGGGAAGUGGAAUUUCCGGUGUAGCGGUGAAAUGCGUAGAGAUCGGAAGGAACACCAGUGGCGAAGGCGGCUUCCUGACCAAACAUUGACGCUGAGGUGCGAAAGCGUGGGUAGCGAACA
rnacentral:rRNA from 1 species